AUGACUGCUGCUGUGAUGCAGCCAACUGCUGCUCCAGGGACUGCAUGUGUUCAUUUGGGACAGCUCUGGCAGGAGCAAACCCUGGCACCCUUGGGAGCAUUCUUACUGAAGCCCUGGUGGGUGACACUGCCCCAGACACCCCAGCAUGUGGCAUCCAGCUACUGGUGUAACUGGGAGUGGCUUUGUGCACAGUGCUGGAGAUUGCUGCAGCACUCCAGUCCCGAGCACUCCAGCUUGGGUGGUGUGAGAGGGAAGGUGCUGUGCAUCAUACCUGACUUUUCUGCAGCACUAUGUGAUGUGCCACAUCCAGAGCUCCCAGGAGAGGGAGAAGAGCAGGUGGAAAGCAGCAGCCCACGGCGAGCAGAAUGAAUGCGGCCACUUCAGCCUCCUCCAAGCUCCCGUGCCGUGUCCAUCACCGUGGUGCUCAUCACUGGAAGAUAACGAAGCUCUCCUACCACCACAGGCUAACGGAUUGGGGUUUUCUACUCUGCUCCUCCGUCCUUCCAUCAUAUUAUUCCAGCUCAGCAAGAAGCAGAAGAACAGUUUAUAAUUCAGGAGAAGGGCUGGGAUGUUUCCCCUCUUGUGGGAAAAAUAAACACGAGUGUUGGCUCUGGUUUCCUACCA
rnacentral:lncRNA from 1 species